AAGAGAGGAGCUUGCUCUUCUUGGAUGAGUUGCGAACGGGUGAGUAACGCGUAGGUAACCUGCCUUGUAGCGGGGGAUAACUAUUGGAAACGAUAGCUAAUACCGCAUAACAAUGGAUGACACAUGUCAUUUAUUUGAAAGGGGCAAUUGCUCCACUACAAGAUGGACCUGCGUUGUAUUAGCUAGUAGGUGAGGUAAUGGCUCACCUAGGCGACGAUACAUAGCCGACCUGAGAGGGUGAUCGGCCACACUGGGACUGAGACACGGCCCAGACUCCUACGGGAGGCAGCAGUAGGGAAUCUUCGGCAAUGGGGGCAACCCUGACCGAGCAACGCCGCGUGAGUGAAGAAGGUUUUCGGAUCGUAAAGCUCUGUUGUAAGUCAAGAACGGGUGUGAGAGUGGAAAGUUCACACUGUGACGGUAGCUUACCAGAAAGGGACGGCUAACUACGUGCCAGCAGCCGCGGUAAUACGUAGGUCCCGAGCGUUGUCCGGAUUUAUUGGGCGUAAAGCGAGCGCAGGCGGUUUGAUAAGUCUGAAGUUAAAGGCUGUGGCUCAACCAUAGUUCGCUUUGGAAACUGUCAAACUUGAGUGCAGAAGGGGAGAGUGGAAUUCCAUGUGUAGCGGUGAAAUGCGUAGAUAUAUGGAGGAACACCGGUGGCGAAAGCGGCUCUCUGGUCUGUAACUGACGCUGAGGCUCGAAAGCGUGGGGAGCGAACAGGAUUAGAUACCCUGGUAGUCCACGCCGUAAACGAUGAGUGCUAGGUGUUGGAUCCUUUCCGGGAUUCAGUGCCGCAGCUAACGCAUUAAGCACUCCGCCUGGGGAGUACGACCGCAAGGUUGAAACUCAAAGGAAUUGACGGGGGCCCGCACAAGCGGUGGAGCAUGUGGUUUAAUUCGAAGCAACGCGAAGAACCUUACCAGGUCUUGACAUCCCGAUGCUAUUUCUAGAGAUAGAAAGUUACUUCGGUACAUCGGUGACAGGUGGUGCAUGGUUGUCGUCAGCUCGUGUCGUGAGAUGUUGGGUUAAGUCCCGCAACGAGCGCAACCCCUAUUGUUAGUUGCCAUCAUUCAGUUGGGCACUCUAGCGAGACUGCCGGUAAUAAACCGGAGGAAGGUGGGGAUGACGUCAAAUCAUCAUGCCCCUUAUGACCUGGGCUACACACGUGCUACAAUGGUUGGUACAACGAGUUGCGAGUCGGUGACGGCGAGCUAAUCUCUUAAAGCCAAUCUCAGUUCGGAUUGUAGGCUGCAACUCGCCUACAUGAAGUCGGAAUCGCUAGUAAUCGCGGAUCAGCACGCCGCGGUGAAUACGUUCCCGGGCCUUGUACACACCGCCCGUCACACCACGAGAGUUUGUAACACCCGAAGUCGGUGAGGUAACCUGUGGAGCCAGCCGCCUAAGGUGGGACAGAUGACUGGGGU
rnacentral:rRNA from 1 species